CUUUUAUGCAUUAUGAUUAUUGGUUUAUGUUUUUGGUUUCAGAAUGAACUAGAUUAUUGUGGAGAGGAGCCAUCCAUGUCAUCUAGAGCACCACUGCAACAACAGCAAUUACAAGCAGUAAUGCAUGUCCCUAGUUCUGAUAAUCAACCAAAAAAUUCCGUGUUUUCAAAUGCUUUGUCGAGCCCCAUUCGUCGAAGUCUUCAUCAGGCAGGGAAUCACAUUAGUGUUCUUGGAAACCGGAAUACUGAACCUGGGUUUCUUCACCAGCAAAGCAGAGAUGCUGUCACAUUCAGUUCUAAUGAUUCUGCCAUGGACAUGCAUGCAGACUAGUCCUGCCUAUUGUUUCAUAGGUUUAAAAUUCUUCUCUCACCCGCCAACCAUAGGAAUCCUAGAUCAGGGUUUGUUUUUUAUGUCCUACAUGAAAUGCCAGGAGGAUGGAACUAUUUCUAUUAAAUGUUUAGAUGGUUAUGUUAUUUGAAUGAUUAGUUUGGGUCUUUGAAAAUGUUGUGUAAAGUUUUUUAUGAUGAUUUUUGAAGCAUUUCAAUUUGUCCUUUAGUUUUACCAGAAGUUAAUGUUGGAAAUUAACAUUAUUCAAGAUUUUCAAUUGGAGUGGGGUACCUAGGCUAAAAGAGUACCUUUGAUAGACUCACCUAUGUGAAUAUGGAAGUAGGGGCCGUUUCCUAUGAAAUUUA
rnacentral:lncRNA from 1 species